rnacentral:rRNA from 1 species
UACGUAGGGGGCUAGCGUUGUCCGGAAUCAUUGGGCGUAAAGAGCGUGUAGGCGGUCCGGUAAGUCCGUUGUGAAAGUCAGGGGCUCAACCCUUGAAUGCCGGCGGAUACUGUCGGGCUAGAGUCCGGAAGAGGCAAGUGGAAUUCCCGGUGUAGCGGUGAAAUGCGCAGAUAUCGGGAGGAACACCAGUAGCGAAGGCGGCUCGCUGGGCCGUUCCUGACGCUGAGACGCGAAAGCUAGGGGAGCGAACAGG